rnacentral:rRNA from 1 species
GUGGGCAAUCUGCCCUUCACUCUGGGACAAGCCCUGGAAACGGGGUCUAAUACCGGAUAACACUCUGUCCCGCAUGGGACGGGGUUAAAAGCUCCGGCGGUGAAGGAUGAGCCCGCGGCCUAUCAGCUUGUUGGUGGGGUGAUGGCCUACCAAGGCGACGACGGGUAGCCGGCCUGAGAGGGCGACCGGCCACACUGGGACUGAGACACGGCCCAGACUCCUACGGGAGGCAGCAGUGGGGAAUAUUGCACAAUGGGCGAAAGCCUGAUGCAGCGACGCCGCGUGAGGGAUGACGGCCUUCGGGUUGUAAACCUCUUUCAGCAGGGAAGAAGCGAAAGUGACGGUACCUGCAGAAGAAGCGCCGGCUAACUACGUGCCAGCAGCCGCGGUAAUACGUAGGGCGCAAGCGUUGUCCGGAAUUAUUGGGCGUAAAGAGCUCGUAGGCGGCUUGUUGCGUCGGUUGUGAAAGCCCGGGGCUUAACCCCGGGUCUGCAGUCGAUACGGGCAGGCUAGAGUGUGGUAGGGGAGAUCGGAAUUCCUGGUGUAGCGGUGAAAUGCGCAGAUAUCAGGAGGAACACCGGUGGCGAAGGCGGAUCUCUGGGCCAUUACUGACGCUGAGGAGCGAAAGCGUG